rnacentral:rRNA from 1 species
UACGUAGGGCGCGAGCGUUGUCCGGAAUUAUUGGGCGUAAAGAGCUCGUAGGCGGCCUGUUGCGUCCGCUGUGAAAGCCCGGGGCUUAACCCCGGGUCUGCAGUGGAUACGGGCAGGCUAGAGGUAGGUAGGGGAGAAUGGAAUUCCCGGUGUAGCGGUGAAAUGCGCAGAUAUCGGGAGGAACACCGGUGGCGAAGGCGGUUCUCUGGGCCUUACCUGACGCUGAUGCACGAAAGCUGGGGGAGCAAACAGG